rnacentral:lncRNA from 1 species
UGCCAAAAUUGUUGAUUAAUGUUUUUAGUCAACAUUUUCGUUAAAAAAUAAUUUAACUAUUUUUAAAAAUUAAUAAUAACAAAAAAAUCAAAAUUGAAAAAUAUUUUAGCAAAUUACACUAGAAAAAUAUUUGUCUACGGAUUUACCACAGGAAAAUCUAAAAUAUUCCAAGAGAAGCAAAAUAAAUAAAAAAUAAACUGGUUUCAUUAUUUACUGGAUUUACAAUACUCAUAUAACUACUGAAAAUUUGAAAAAAGGGGAAGGUCAUAUAUGAAUAAAUCUAAAUAAAAAAAAAUCAAUGGAUGAGGUAAGUAAUUGCCAAGGCAAUCAAAAGCAGCAUAUAAGCAAUUCCUUGAUCAAUCGCAGCACCAUCAUUCGAUGGACCCGGCGCCGGUGCCGGCGAAGAAUCCAUCGUUUGCCCGUAACCGAGUUGCGAAACUGCGAACAACAACGCCACAAUGACUUGAACAACAAGCACCUUUAUUGAACUCAUCAUCUUCGAAUAAUUAUGAACUAACAAAAUUAAGUAAAUAUUAAAGGAAAAGAAGAAAGAAGAAUUUCUGGGUUUUCUUUUUUAAGGGGAAACGAAGAGAAACGGGGAAAGUUUAUAAAGAAAUAUGAUGAAUUUUGAGGGGAAUGGCGAUGAUUUUUAUACUGUGAAGAGCUUAGUUUUGGGGGGCAGACAAUUUCGUGGAAAGUGAAUGGUCAAGAUACUGGUUGUGGCAUUUUCUCGAACGCGUCGUGGACACGAGAAAAAUUUGUGUUUUUUCCUCGGUCGUGGCGACUACGCUAAGAUUGACCCCGUUAGCCAAUUAGCGAGUAGCGAGUAGCAAGUCGCUAAGUUUGGCUCGUUU